AAGUCGUAACAAGGUCUCCGUAGGUGAACCUGCGGAGGGAUCAUUACACAAAGAUAUGAAGGCGGGGUGCUGGCAACAGCGCUCUGCUGAAUUAUUUUUCACCCAUGUCUUUUGCGCACUUUUUGUUUCCUGGGCGAGUUCGCUCGCCACCAGGGACCCCCAUAUAAACCUUUUUGUUUAUGCAAUCAGCGUCAGUACAAUAAUGAAUUUAUUAAAACUUUCAACAACGGAUCUCUUGGUUCUG
rnacentral:misc_RNA from 1 species